rnacentral:misc_RNA from 1 species
CCCGCCCUGAACCUGUUCGGUCUUCAGUCACAGCGAUGGAGUCGACCGAAACGGAUUAUCAGGCGGCUGCAAGGUACAAAUCCGAAUACGGAAAACGAGGCGUUUCGUUCACCCCCGAACAGGUCUCGACAGUGUGCGAUGCCCUUCAUCAAUCCGGCGAUUGUGAAAAACUGGCCAGGUUCCUCUGGUCUCUUCCGCCCAACGAACUCCUCCGUGGGCACGAAGCGGUACUCAGGGCGAGAGCUCUGGUCGCCUACCACCGGGGGGCUUUUCACGAGCUUUACGCCAUCCUGGAAAGCCAUGGAUUCGAUGCGAGGUAUCACACGGAGCUUCAGCAGAUGUGGUACCGAGCGCACUACAGGGAAGCGGAAAAGAUUCGUGGCCGGCCGUUGGGGGCGGUGGACAAAUACAGGCUGAGGAAAAAAUACCCGUUGCCAAAGACGAUCUGGGACGGGGAAGAGACGGUAUACUGCUUCAAGGAAAAAUCGAGAACCGCUCUUAAAGAAUGCUACGAGAGGAAUAGAUAUCCGACGCCAGACGAGAAGAGGGCCCUAGCAAAAAGAACAGGACUUACUCUAACGCAAGUUAGCAAUUGGUUCAAAAACAGAAGACAAAGGGAUAGGACACCUCAGCACAGAAGAUAUGAUGAAAUGGUGUACAGUCCUGGGACACCAGACAUGCAUCGGAAUCAAAGAAUGGGGAUCCAGCUUCCCUCACACCUAUAGUCCCGGAUCUUGCUCCUUCGGACUACUACCUCAUCUUAAGGGUAAUAAAUUUACCAAGAAAGAUAAAAACACGAGUUCACAACUUCCAGUCGAAGACAAUGGAAUCGCACAUCUUUCAGCCAAAUAAAAUGCGACAUGCUGAUGUCGAGUGAUGUAAGCAGUCUCUUGAGCUCGUCGUCCAGCCUCGACAUGCCGGAUUUGAAGCAAUUUUCCUACCAG